rnacentral:rRNA from 1 species
ACGUUAUUCGGAAUCACUGGGCUUAAAGCGCGUGUAGGCGGGACGGCACGUCGGCCGCUGAAAUCCCCCGGCUCAACCGGGGAAGGGGCGCCGAUACGACCGGCCUGGAGGGACGUAGGGGGGGCUGGAACUUCCGGUGGAGCGGUGAAAUGCGUUGAGAUCGGAAGGAACGCCCGUGGCGAAAGCGAGCCCCUGGACGUCUACUGACGCUGAGACGCGAAAGCCA